UACAGAGGGUGCGAGCGUUGUCCGGAAUCACUGGGCGUAAAGGGCGCGUAGGUGGCGCAACAAGUCAGUGGUGAAAGCUCGACGCUCAACGUCGAGUCGGCCACUGAGACUGUUGGGCUUGAGCACUGUAGAGGCUAAUGGAAUUCCGGGUGUAGCGGUGGAAUGCGUAGAGAUCCGGAAGAACACCGGUGGCGAAGGCGGUUAGCUGGGCAGUUGCUGACACUGAGGCGCGACAGCGUGGGGAGCAAACAGA
rnacentral:rRNA from 1 species